AGAGCACUUACCUGGGCAAACUUGUGAAUCUGUUCUACCACUGCAGCAAACAGAGCAUUGACGCUUUCAUCAAUCAGACUCUGCAUGUAAUGCACUGCCUCUUCAUCCGACAAGUCCAGCCGAAAUUUAUCCUGAACCUACAAGGGAAGAACAGUAUGACAAAGGCGAAGCCCCAGAUGACACCAUCGAGAUGAACCUGGGACAGGGAUAGAUGACGCGGUGGAACUCGUAAUUACCAUUCACUGCACUUUGAAGCAGAGCAAUACUCUAAACCUUCCCUGGAUGACAAAUGAGAACAGAAGACAACGAUGUUUUAUUUUGAGGAAUGGAAUGCAUGUUAUUUGCUUGAUGUAUCUAAAAAAUGCCCCAUCAGUUGUUGAAAGAUUGGACACUUACCUAAGAAAAUCCAAAGUUUACAAUUUUUAAUAUGGUAUAAAAUUUUUGUUCAAGGCACAAUAAAUGCAAAACAAUGAAAGAUGCUUCAAAAUAUGAGGUAUUUUUAAGUAAAAGCACUGAAAUGUGCUUCCUAGAGUGAACCAGAAUCAGAAUUCACCUUAGCUAAGUUAUAUGACAUCUGUUUAUAAAAAAUAUAUGACAUCUGUUUAUAAAAAAUAUAUAAUCACUACAACGUGAAACUGCUUUGAAACAUGGAUUUGCUGUGUAAACACAAAAAAUUUUAAAUUAAUUAUAAAUGGUCAGAAGUUGAUGAGUGUCUGACACUUAUAUUCAUCUUAACAUGAUCCGUCUUAUUUUCUAUAAUUUAAUUUUGUUCAAACUAAAUUGAGAAUUUGUGAGGUUUUUUCCCUAGUAAGAAAGACUUAAAAUUCUAACUGCAUAACAUACCUGGAUGAAAUAAUUAAAGAGUAGGUACACAACUGGAAAAUUCUACUUGAAGUUAAAGUAAUGGAUUGACACAAAGCGCUUCACGUUUAGAAGCUGUCUGUACAGAUACCAUGUCAAAAGAUAUAAGGCUAAAGAGUUAUCAGCAAGAAGGAAGCUGCCCACGUUUAUAGUGGCACAGUUUGUAACAGCUAAAUCUUGGAAACAGCCCACGUGCCCAUCAACUGAUGAAUGGAUAAAGAUGAUGUGAUUUUUUUGUUUUUAGACAUUACUGUGCUGUGAAGACAGAUGAACUUCAGACAUUUAUAGCUAAAUGGAUGGACCUUGAGCCAUACUCUUAAGUGAAAUAAAUCAGACGCACAUGUUUAAAUACUGCCUUGUUUCUCUGGUGUAAGAAACCGAAAGCGGAAAUCAAGACUAAAAUGCGUAAUAGGUACUGGGAAAUGGGAAAAUGUUCAAAUGGGAAGGGCAACAAA